GCGGGAUUAGUAUAAUGGUAGUACAGGGGUUUCCAAAACCUCUAGCGUGGGUUCGAUUCCUACAUCCCGUGCGA
rnacentral:tRNA from 1 species